rnacentral:rRNA from 1 species
GGAUUAGUACGCUGGUCGUGCCUUCGGUACGUACUGGUGUUACUGAUUCCUACCUUCUGACGAACCGUCAUGUCAUUAAUUUGGUGUGGCGGGAAAUCAGGACUGUUACUUUGAAAAAAUUAGAGUGUUCAAAGCAGGCGCCUCACGCUUGUAUACAUUAGCAUGGAAUAAUGGAAUAGGACUGUGGUCCCGUUUUGUUGGUUUUCAGGACCGCGGUA